rnacentral:rRNA from 1 species
UACGUAGGGUGCGAGCGUUAAUCGGAAUUACUGGGCGUAAAGCGUGCGCAGGCGGUUUUGUAAGCCAGAUGUGAAAUCCCCGGGCUUAACCUGGGAAUGGCAUUUGGGACUGCAAGGCUCGAGUGCGGCAGAGGAGACUGGAAUUCCUGGUGUAGCAGUGAAAUGCGUAGAUAUCAGGAGGAACACCGGUGGCGAAGGCGGCAUCCUGGACCGACAUUGACGCUGAGGCGCGAAAGCCAGGGGAGCAAACGGG